GAAAUGCGAUAAGUAAUGUGAAUUGCAGAAUUCCGUGAAUCAUCGAAUCUUUGAACGCACAUUGCGCCCUCUGGCAUUCCGGGGGGCAUGCCUGUCCGAGCGUCAUUACGCACCCUCAAGCCCGGCUUGUGUGAUGGGCCCCGGCGUCUCGUUCGCGAGACGGGCCCGAAAGGCAGGGGCGGCGUCGACCCAAUGAGCCCGAGCGUAUGGGGACUUCUGUCACACGUUCGCGGUGCGGACCGGCGCCUGCUUUGACUUUUCUGAUUAUCCAGGUUGACCUCGGAUCAGGUAGGGAUACCCGCUGAACUUAAGC
rnacentral:misc_RNA from 1 species